AUUCGACCUACAACAGCAAAGCUGGAUAAUCGUCAUGAGAAGGCUGGGUAAGAAUAAAAAUAAAGAGGAAAAGAGCCAGGCAGAUGUGACUGGAGGCCAAGAUUUCUCCUCUGUGACAGGAAGUAUACCAUGUUCAGCAUGGCAAUCUUAGUGAAAUGUAACAGACAAAAUUCCGGACUUUGGUGCUAUGUUAGGGUUUCAGUUGGUUUCAUAAAGAUCCUUGGCAUUAUCGACUUUCUCCUUGUGUGAAAAGCAAAGGAAAGCCUUUGAAAAUGGACUGCUUUGCCAGCUAUCGAACCAGGAGGGAGGAGCGAGAGGAUACAUCAGUGAUGGAGGAGUUAUUAUCUAAGCAGGAUGUACAACAUAUAAAGCAUAUUGUGCAAUACAAUUUCCCUGAUUGCAAGUCUAAAAUAUUCCUGCCAUUAAAUGCUUAUGAGCAACACAACGUGAAAUCCAGCUGUAAAAAGACUGUGUACAUGACAUGCUUCAUGUGAAUGUUGCAAUUAAUACAGCAUGCAUCAAUCACUCUUGGACUUGAUUACAAAUUGCACUAAUCCUAAUUGAUUCAUUAAGCUGCAAAGUUACAUACAGUAAUGUACGUUAAAAAAAAUCUCACCAUAUGUGCACUAAUGUCCCCAAAUAUAUUUUCAUUGUGGGGAUUAAUGCUGAUACUUUGCUCUCAGCUGUGCAUGUAGGGUCUAAAAAGAAGGACUGCACUAACCAUGGAUAUCCUCAAAACUAGGAAUUCUUCAGCACAGGAAUUCAGCUAGCUGUAACAGAGUUAUGGGAAAGAAACAUCUGCAUUCAAACCCUCGGGAAUACUUUUGGGAGGAAAGAGGGAAAGGGCUAAAAUCUAAACCUGACUUUCCUGAAGAACUCCCAAACCACGGUUCUGGUGUGGCAACGCCUGCUGCAGAAUGGUCCUCACCUCAGGAGAGAUAAGAGAAAACCUUGAGUUUUGUGUCCGCUGAACAACUCUCCCACAGUUUCAUCAAUGUCUCUAGACUUUAACUGGUAUUUACACCACGUCGUCUCUUUGUGCCACCGUUGCAGUCAGCUGGCUCUACACCACGGCUGACAGGCCUGAAAAUCAAGAUUCCUUCAGAGAGGGAGAACCACUCUUUGCAGGGAGAGGAGCCUGGAUAACCUCCAGCUGGAGAUGAAAGAGCUACACAGGAGAGGAAUGAAAUCUCUAGUGAUCUCCCCAUCGCACAACCUUAUCAAAGGCUAGGUUUGCCAGGCUUUUAUUUUCCAUGGUUUCAGUCCUUCAGGGAAAAUAUCUUUGCGAAAUCUAAGGUGACUUGAUACAUAAAUAAUGCAACUGGGAUCACUCAGAAAACAUUACAUUCCCUGCACA